UUUUUUUUUUUUUUUUUUUUUUAAAUCUGUCUCACUGACUGGUCGUUUUCAUGUUUGCUUUUAUAACAUUUCCACUGGUCUCUUACCAACCUUUCUUCCUCUUCCGAUGUCCUGUUUCCAGUCUUCAGUGAACCUAGAGAAAUAGUUGUUAGGCUUGUUAGCAUCAUGUGUGAAUGAGUACUGCAGUUUAGGGAUGAGUAGUGGUGGGGAGGUCUAUUCUUGGGCUCUAAUGCUGUGUGUCGUUUCUCUGGGCUCUCCGUGGCCUUUUUAGCUUUAUCUUUGGAUCCCAGAAGUGCUCCUGAUGGACCAAGUGUGAAGGAGAUAUUUUUGCAUAAUUAUGGUGCCAUGCAGUUGUGUAAUAUUUACAACUGGAAGGGAGCUAGCAACAAUUUAAUUCCAUGGCCCCAGCCGGUUUUCUUCCUAUGACCAUGAGGGAGGUGUUGAUCUCUUGGGAGGUAUAAAGAAAAAGAAUUAGGUUAAGUGGGACCAAGACAGGAGACAUUUGUGGCUAGAGCCCUCCCACUCUCCCUGCAGUCCUUUCUCCAGUGCAUAUGACCAGUGCCACCUGUGACUGACCUAGCUCCCAUGGCAGAGCAUGGCGCAGUGUUGGAGUGUUUGCCCAGAGAUGCCAGGAGUUUAACUAGAAAUCGUGAGGGAAGAUAGAAGCAUUGCCUGGCUUCGUCCCUUCCCAGCAUCAGCUGCUACCUUUCUAAUGAUAAGCAGAAAGGCAGGGUGGGCGCAAGUCUCACCUGGCCGGUUCCAACAACAGAUGCCCCAAGGCUGGAGGCUGGUCUCAGGUGCUCCUCCCCCUCCCUGGCUGGAUGUCACCACUUCAACUGCACCUGGCCAGGCAGACGUGGGGCUUCACCUGGGCAUUCCUCUGGCUCCUGCUACACCCAGAACAGGGCAGAAAGGGAUCAGGGGAGAGAGAACAUGUGCUCUGUGGUUACUUCUUAUCCUUUUUACACUCAGAAAAGCUUGAUGGGCAACUCUUUCCUAGUUUUACCUAUUCUGAUAUCUUCUUAAGACCUCCCCUGUAAGUUUUGAGAGACUCACCAGCAACCUACAGCAUUGAGAGCUGAAAUUAAGAGCAAAUGACUUGGUCCCCUCAUCUUACAGGUGAAGAGUUGAACUCAUGAAAAUUUAAAAAUAUAUGUUCAAGAUCGUAUUCUGACCUGGAAGCAGAACUUACAUCCGUUUCUGAUCUUGAAGAGUGCUGCAGACAAGGCUUAAAGAAAGCAAGUCGGCCGGGCACAGUGGCUCAAGCCUGUAAUCCCAGCACUUUGGGAGGCCGAGACGGGCGGAUCACGAGGUCAGGAGAUCAAGGCUAACACGGUGAAACCCCGUCUCUACUAAAAAUACAAAAAAUUAGCCGGGCGUGGUGGUGGGCGCCUGUAGUCCCAGCUACUCGGGAGGCUGAGGCAGGAGAAUGGGGUGAACCCGGGAGGCGGAGCUUGCAGUGAGCUGAGAUCUGGCCACUGUACUCCAGCCUGGGUGACAGAGUGAGACUCCGUCUCAAAAAAAAAAAAAAAAAAAAAAAGCAAGUCAGAUGGCAAAACAUUUAUUAAGGACCUUUAAGAUUGCAGCAGGUACCAAUACAGACAAUUACCCGAGCUGAUGAUGGUUAAAAAUAAGAAAUGUAAGAUAAGUUGACAUCAUAGGAUUGGAACUAACAUAAUGUUUACUGUGUGCUAGAUACUUUUAUUUACUAAAUUC
ensembl:lncRNA